GAUCCUGGCUCAGGAUGAACGCUGGCGGCGCGCCUAACACAUGCAAGUCGAACGGACGAUGAAAAGCUUGCUUUUCAAAGUUAGCGGCGGACGGGUGAGUAACGCGUGGGUAACCUGCCUCAUACAGGGGGAUAACAGUUAGAAAUGGCUGCUAAUACCGCAUAAGACCACAGCACCGCAUGGUGCAGGGGUAAAAACUCCGGUGGUAUGAGAUGGACCCGCGUCUGAUUAGCUAGUUGGUGGGG
rnacentral:rRNA from 1 species